UUUGUAAAAUUCAAUUGAAUUCCAAGUUUUGCAUGUUUGGUUAAGAAAAAAAUGUAAAUUCAAUUUUGCGAGUUUGUUUCUAUGAAUUUGAACAUAACUAAAAUCAAAAUAGGUGGAAUUUCAAAUGAAUUCCUUAAAAUAAAGACAAUAACAAUUUUUUGAACCAAAAUACCCAUGUCUUCCUCACACUCUCUCCCCGCUCUCUCUUCCCAUACCUUCCUGCCAUUCACUUUCUCCCCGCUCUCUCUUCCCAUACCUUCCUGCCAUUCACUU
rnacentral:misc_RNA from 1 species